rnacentral:rRNA from 1 species
UGAGGAAUAUUGGACAAUGGGCGCAAGCCUGAUCCAGCCAUGCCGCGUGCAGGAAGAAGCAUCUAUGGUGUGUAAACUGCUUUUGUACGGGUAGAAACACUCCUUCGUGAAGGAGCUUGACGGUACCGUAAGAAUAAGGAUCGGCUAACUCCGUGCCAGCAGCCGCGGUAAUACGGAGGAUCCAAGCGUUAUCCGGAAUCAUUGGGUUUAAAGGGUCCGUAGGCGGUUUAGUAAGUCAGUGGUGAAAGCCCAUCGCUCAACGAUGGAACGGCCAUUGAUACUGCUAGACUUGAAUUAUUAGGAAGUAACUAGAAUGUGUAGUGUAGCGGUAAAAUGCUUAGAUAUUACAUGGAAUUCCAAUUGCGAAGGCAGGUUACUACUUGUGGAUUAACGCUGAUGGACGAAAGCGUGGGGAGCGAACA